AACUAACAAUUCAAGAUACUUGUCUUCACCACAAACCAAUACUAUUGAAUUACAUAUUAUUUGCCUACGUUUUUAAAACAAACUAUCUAAAAUAAAUGCCACGGUUCUCCUAAUUUUCUAUAACACAUUGCUCCCAUGAGCCCAUGCUUUCACAUCAUACUCAUUUACCCCUUCUUCCCUUUCUUCUGAACACGAGAGUGCUUCUUUCUCUUCUUUUUACCAUAUCUGUAGAACAAACAAACAUAAAUAAAAAUUCACUAUCAAGUAAAAUUAUCAACAAUAUUUAAUUAUUUCAAUCAAAUAACUUAAUAUAGCACCUGGCUUUAUCUUCCUCGUCCUCAAAAUCUAACAUUCUUUUACCCUCCUUCAUACUAAAACACCAAAUAAAUUCAUAACAAUAAUCAGCUUUGCAUUGGAUAAAAAAACAUCAAUUAAAUAAUAAUAGUCUAUGAAAAGAAAUCUCACUAUUCCUCUCUUUCUUUCCUACUUAAUGCAUCGGCUUCCCUUAUCAAUUUUUCACCAAACCAUUUUUUCUGGGGUUUCAUCCUUCUUUCUUUCUUGCUGAAAAAUCAAAUGCAACCAACAAACAUCUCAAAUAUAAAAUAUUAUACUAUAAACCAAAUAAAAAUUAUCAAUAAAUAGAAACUACCUUCUGUUUCUUUCUUCCCUCCUCAAAUCUUUCUCACUUCCUCCUCCAUUC
rnacentral:lncRNA from 1 species